UAAGGGCGCACGGUGGAUGCCUUGGCACUAGAAGCCGAUGAAGGACGUUACUAACGACGAUAUGCUUUGGGGAGCUGUAAGUAAGCUUUGAUCCAGAGAUUUCCGAAUGGGGAAACCCAGCAUGAGUUAUGUCAUGUUAUCGAUAUGUGAAUACAUAGCAUAUCAGAAGGCACACCCGGAGAACUGAAACAUCUUAGUACCCGGAGGAAGAGAAAGAAAAUUCGAUUCCCUUAGUAGCGGCGAGCGAAACGGGAAGAGCCCAAACCAACAAGCUUGCUUGUUGGGGUUGUAGGACACUCUAUACGGAGUUACAAAGGACGACAUUAGACGAAUCAUCUGGAAAGAUGAAUCAAAGAAGGUAAUAAUCCUGUAGUCGAAAAUGUUGUCUCUCUUGAGUGGAUCCUGAGUACGACGGAGCACGUGAAAUUCCGUCGGAAUCUGGGAGGACCAUCUCCUAAGGCUAAAUACUCUCUAGUGACCGAUAGUGAACCAGUACCGUGAGGGAAAGGUGAAAAGCACCCCGGAAGGGGAGUGAAAUAGAACCUGAAACCGUGUGCUUACAAGUAGUCAGAGCCCGUUAAUGGGUGAUGGCGUGCCUUUUGUAGAAUGAACCGGCGAGUUACGAUUUGAUGCAAGGUUAAGCAGUAAAUGUGGAGCCGUAGCGAAAGCGAGUCUGAAUAGGGCGUUUAGUAUUUGGUCGUAGACCCGAAACCAGGUGAUCUACCCUUGGUCAGGUUGAAGUUCAGGUAACACUGAAUGGA
rnacentral:rRNA from 1 species